UGCAGGGGCCAUAGCGGGAAUAGCAGCUGGUGUAGCAGUGGUUCUGAUCGCGCUGUUAGCGUUCGUCACCAUUUUCCUCAGAAAAAGACAAUCAAACCAGAAGCAUGCAUCAAACGUUCCAAGAGGCGCACCUGAGCAAAGGUUCCGUAACCCGGAAUACUUGGGUACAGCAGUGACCAGCGAGGACACUCCUGCGCAAGAAGAGGGGUACACCGACUGUGAACUUUACAACAACACCGAGGACAACAACCCGUAUGACACGUACAACUAUGCAAACCCUGGACAAAUCUCUGGAGGGGAAAUCUCAGAACCCCAUGAUUACGACUAUGUUACAAUACCAGGGGAAUCCGAUAGGGGCGUGGUGGACAACGUAAUCUACGAGAGUUCAGACAUGACGUAGAAAUACAAUCUAUCAUUGAAUUUUUUAAUUUUUUAUUAAGAGAAGGGUUGUGGCAGCAAUAUGUAUAUUUCUUUUUAAUUUCACCUCACUGCUAAACCAAUCGUGAUCUCUUCAGGGUGUUACAGUCACACAGAUUACCUGCUUUCUUGCUGCUUGUCCAAAAGAAUUCUAUAUAUUCCAUCCUAUACAUAUUAUAAAAUAAUUCAAUUACAUUCUAGGAGGAUAUAAGUCUUAUCGUGUACAAAUAGGUAGAUAUGUAAAAGAAUAUCCAGACCUUAUAACCAGUUGUGGAAACAAUACGUUACACUCAACAUAUUUUCAUAUAUCUGUUUGCUACUCCA